GCGUAUGGGGAAUGCCUAGGCUCUCAGAGGCGAUGAAGGACGUGAUAAGCUGCGAAAAGCUGCGGGGACAGGCACAUACUGAUUGAUCCGCAGAUAUCCGAAUGGGGCAACCCACUAUAUUGAAGAUAUAGUAUCCUAAGGGAGGCGAACCCGGAGAACUGAAACAUCUAAGUACCCGGAGGAGAAGAAAACAAAAGUGAUUCCGCUAGUAGUGGCGAGCGAACGCGGAAUAGCCCAAACCAAUGUUGUUACGGCAAUAUUGGGGUUGUAGGACCACGACAUUUAAUGAUUACAGAAUUAGAACGCUUUGGAAAUAGCGACCAUAGAGGGUGAUAGUCCCGUAUAGGUAAUGUAAUUAAUUGAUAGUGGUAUCCUGAGUAGCGCGGGACACGUGUAAUCCUGUGUGAAUUUGGCGGGACCAUCCGCUAAGGCUAAAUACUCCUGAGAGACCGAUAGUGAACUAGUACCGUGAGGGAAAGGUGAAAAGAACCCUGAAUAAGGGAGUGAAAUAGACCCUGAAACCAUACGCUUACAAGCGGUCGGAGCCCUUUGGGGUGACGGCGUGCCUUUUGCAUAAUGAGCCUACGAGUUACCGUUGCUAGCAAGGUUAAAUGUUUAAGACAUGGAGCCGUAGCGAAAGCGAGUCUGAAUAG
rnacentral:rRNA from 1 species